GAGACUGUAGCUCAGUUGGAUAGAGUAAAUGUUUCCUAAACAUUAGGUCAAUGGUUCAAAUCCAUUCAGUCUCG
rfam:Galdieria sulphuraria unplaced genomic scaffold scaf_35, whole genome shotgun sequence.